rnacentral:sRNA from 1 species
GCCAGGUGCAGUGACACAUGCCUAUAAUCCCUGCAACUUGGGAGGCUGAGACAGGAGGAUCGAAAGUUCAAAAUCAGCCUCAAGAACUUAGUGAGGCUCUCAGCAACAUAUUGAGACCCUGUCUCAA